rnacentral:rRNA from 1 species
AUGGUUGAACUUAAAAGGCAUGUCAUGUUUCCUACUGUUUAUCGCCUCAUUGAGUUGGCAUUGCUACUACCGGUAGCAAUGAAAACAAUUGAAAGGGCCUUCUCAUCAAUGAAAAUCAUCAAGAUUGAGUUGUGCAGCAAGAUAUCCGAUGGUUGGUUUAAUGACUUGAUGGUGUGUUACAUUGAGCGAGUGAUCUUCAAAAGUUUGAUCUUGUUAAAAUUAAGGAAGAUUUUUAGAAGGGGGGUAGGGCACUGCCAUUUCCUGGGUCCUCUAGAUGCCAUUGAAAUCUUCUUUUAUCGUAUGUUUUAG